GAUGAACGCUGGCGGCGUGCCUAAUACAUGCAAGUCGAGCGAACGGACGAGAAGCUUGCUUCUCUGAUGUUAGCGGCGGACGGGUGAGUAACACGUGGAUAACCUACCUAUAAGACUGGGAUAACUUCGGGAAACCGGAGCUAAUACCGGAUAAUAUUUUGAACCGCAUGGUUCAAAAGUGAAAGACGGUCUUGCUGUCACUUAUAGAUGGAUCCGCGCUGCAUUAGCUAGUUGGUAAGGUAACGGCUUACCAAGGCAACGAUGCAUAGCCGACCUGAGAGGGUGAUCGGCCACACUGAAACUGAGACACGGUCCAGACUCCUACGGGAGGCAGCAGUAGGGAAUCUUCCGCAAUGGGCGAAAGCCUGACGGAGCAACGCCGCGUGAGUGAUGAAGGUCUUCGGAUCGUAAAACUCUGUUAUUAGGGAAGAACAUAUGUGUAAGUAACUGUGCACAUCUUGACGGUACCUAAUCAGAAAGCCACGGCUAACUACGUGCCAGCAGCCGCGGUAAUACGUAGGUGGCAAGCGUUAUCCGGAAUUAUUGGGCGUAAAGCGCGCGUAGGCGGUUUUUUAAGUCUGAUGUGAAAGCCCACGGCUCAACCGUGGAGGGUCAUUGGAAACUGGAAAACUUGAGUGCAGAAGAGGAAAGUGGAAUUCCAUGUGUAGCGGUGAAAUGCGCAGAGAUAUGGAGGAACACCAGUGGCGAAGGCGACUUUCUGGUCUGUAACUGACGCUGAUGUGCGAAAGCGUGGGGAUCAAACAGGAUUAGAUACCCUGGUAGUCCACGCCGUAAACGAUGAGUGCUAAGUGUUAGGGGGUUUCCGCCCCUUAGUGCUGCAGCUAACGCAUUAAGCACUCCGCCUGGGGAGUACGACCGCAAGGUUGAAACUCAAAGGAAUUGACGGGGACCCGCACAAGCGGUGGAGCAUGUGGUUUAAUUCGAAGCAACGCGAAGAACCUUACCAAAUCUUGACAUCCUUUGACAACUCUAGAGAUAGAGCUUUCCCCUUCGGGGGACAAAGUGACAGGUGGUGCAUGGUUGUCGUCAGCUCGUGUCGUGAGAUGUUGGGUUAAGUCCCGCAACGAGCGCAACCCUUAAGCUUAGUUGCCAUCAUUAAGUUGGGCACUCUAAGUUGACUGCCGGUGACAAACCGGAGGAAGGUGGGGAUGACGUCAAAUCAUCAUGCCCCUUAUGAUUUGGGCUACACACGUGCUACAAUGGACAAUACAAAGGGCAGCGAAACCGCGAGGUCAAGCAAAUCCCAUAAAGUUGUUCUCAGUUCGGAUUGUAGUCUGCAACUCGACUACAUGAAGCUGGAAUCGCUAGUAAUCAUAGAUCAGCAUGCUACGGUGAAUACGUUCCCGGGUCU
rnacentral:rRNA from 1 species